rnacentral:rRNA from 1 species
CUAGCUUGCUAGAUUGAUGGCGAGUGGCGAACGGGUGAGUAAUACAUCGGAACGUGCCCUGUAGUGGGGGAUAACUAGUCGAAAGAUUAGCUAAUACCGCAUACGACCUGAGGGUGAAAGUGGGGGACCGCAAGGCCUCAUGCUAUAGGAGCGGCCGAUGUCUGAUUAGCUAGUUGGUGGGGUAAAGGCCUACCAAGGCGACGAUCAGUAGCUGGUCUGAGAGGAUGAUCAGCCACACUGGGACUGAGACACGGCCCAGACUCCUACGGGAGGCAGCAGUGGGGAAUUUUGGACAAUGGGCGCAAGCCUGAUCCAGCCAUGCCGCGUGUCUGAAGAAGGCCUUCGGGUUGUAAAGGACUUUUGUCAGGGAAGAAAAGCUUGAGGCUAAUACCCUUGAGUGAUGACGGUACCUGAAGAAUAAGCACCGGCUAACUACGUGCCAGCAGCCGCGGUAAUACGUAGGGUGCGAGCGUUAUCCGGAAUUAUUGGGCGUAAAGAGCUCGUAGGCGGUUUGUCGCGUCUGUCGUGAAAGUCCGGGGCUUAACCCCGGAUCUGCGGUGGGUACGGGCAGACUAGAGUGCAGUAGGGGAGACUGGAAUUCCUGGUGUAGCGGUGGAAUGCGCAGAUAUCAGGAGGAACACCGAUGGCGAAGGCAGGUCUCUGGGCAGUAACUGACGCUGAGGAGCGAAAGCAUGGGGAGCGAACAGGAUUAGAUACCCUGGUAGUCCAUGCCGUAAACGGUGGGCGCUAGGUGUGGGGUUCCUUCCACGGGCUCCGCGCCGUAGCUAACGCAUUAAGCGCCCCGCCUGGGGAGUACGGCCGCAAGGCUAAAACUCAAAGGAAUUGACGGGGGCCC